GGUGACGUGACGAACAGGGCCACAGAGACGAGUAAACGCCGGGCAACCGGCGUGGACGUGAAACGCGGCAACCUCCAUCCGGAGCAACACCAAAUAGGCAGACGCGCCAGCGGCAACGCUGGCACAGCGCGGCCCGCGCGAGUCUGCGGGUAGGUGGCUUGAGCCGCGCAGCAAUGCGCGGCCUAGAGGAAUGGCUGCCACGGUGCGGGUGCAAGCCCGCGCUGCACAGAAUCCGGCUUAUAGCCCCGCUUCGCAC
rnacentral:RNase_P_RNA from 1 species